GCACAUUUUAAGUCGGUAGGC
rnacentral:miRNA from 1 species